rnacentral:tRNA from 1 species
AACAGUAUAGCUCAGUGGUAGAGCACAUGCUUAGCAUGCACCGUCCUGGGUUCAAUCACCAGUACUGCCA